rnacentral:rRNA from 1 species
UACGGGGGGGGCAAGCGUUGUUCGGAAUUACUGGGCGUAAAGGGUUCGUAGGUGGCCAACUAAGUCAGACGUGAAAUCCCUCAGCUUAACUGGGGAACUGCGUCUGAUACUGGUUGGCUUGAGUGCAGGAGAGGAACGCGGAAUUCCAGGUGUAGCGGUGAAAUGCGUAGAUAUCUGGAGGAACACCGGUGGCGAAGGCGGCCUUCUGGACAGUGACUGACGCUGAGACGCGAAAGCUAGGGGAGCAAACGGG